AGGCUACCGCUAUUGGAGUUCGAUUAAGCCAUGCGAGUCCAGAGCUUUCGGAGCUCGGCGUACCGCUCAGUAACACGUGGGUAACCUAACCUAUGCAGGGGAAUAACCUCGGGAAACUGAGAAUAAUGCCCCAUAGUCCACUACGCCUGGAACGGUGAGUGGAUAAAAGCUCAGGCGGCAUAGGAUGGGCCUGCGGCGUAUCAGGUUGUAGGGGGUGUAAAGUACCCUCUAGCCCUCUACGCGUACGGGUGUUGGGAGACAUAGCCCGGAGAUGGAUUCUGAGACACGAAUCCAGACCCUACGGGGUGCAGCAGGCGCGAAAACUUGGCAAUGCGAGCAAUCGUGACCAGGGAACUCCAAGUGGCUGGGGUAAGACCCAGUCUUUUCAGAACUCUUCAAAGGUUUUAGAAUAAGGGGUGGGUAAGGACGGUGCCAGCCGCCGCGGUAAUACCGGCGCCUCAAGUGGUAGUCGCUUUUAUUGGGCCUAAAACGUCCGUAGCCGGUUUGGUACAUUCGUGGGUAAAUCAACUCGCUCAACGAGUUGAAUUCUGCGAGGACGGCCAGACUUGGGACCGGGAGAGGUGUGGGGUACUCUCAGGGUAGGGGUAAAAUCCUGUCAUCCUGAGAGGACCACCUGUUGCGAAGGCGCCACACUAGAACGGAUCCGACGGUCAGGGACGAAGCCUAGGGGCACGAACCGGAUUAGAUACCCGGGUAGUCCUAGGUGUAAACGCUGUGGACUUGAUGUUGGAGGAGCUCCGAGCUCUUUCAGUGUCGAAGCGAAGGUGAUAAGUCCACUGCCUGGGAAGUACGGUCGCAAGGCUGAAACUUAAAGGAAUUGGCGGGGGAGCACCGCAACCUGAGGAUUGUGCGGUUU
rnacentral:rRNA from 1 species